rnacentral:miRNA from 12 species
UCUGAGAGCAAGUAAUGUGAAGGUAAAGAAGACCUGAAUGUUUUCAAACCAAAGGGAAUAUAUUCCUGGAAGAAUAUGGAACAAAGUGCUGUUGUGGCUCCCUUUAGUUCUCUGCACUGCCUUGUGCAGUCUUUGUGGAGGGUGCAUAAGGAUUUAUUUA